GCGGAAAGACUGGACAAUCUGGUCAGGACCCAGGCUUCCCAAGCCUGUGACCCGGGUUCGAAUCCCGGUUGGUGCA
rnacentral:tRNA from 1 species